rnacentral:rRNA from 1 species
UACGGGAGGCAGCAGUGGGGAAUAUUGCACAAUGGGCGAAAGCCUGAUGCAGCUAUGCCGCGUGUAUGAAGAAGGCCUUAGGGUUGUAAAGUACUUUCAUCGGGGAGGAAAAACAAAACUAAUAAUUUUAUUUCUUGACGUUACCCGAAAAAGAAGCACCGGCUAACUCCGUGCCAGCAGCCGCGGUAAUACGGAGGGUGCUAGCGUUAAUCAGAAUUACUGGGCGUAAAGAGCACGUAGGUGGUUUUUUUAAGUCAGAUGUGAAAUCCCUGGGCUUAACCUAGGAACUGCAUUUUGAAACUGAAAUACUAGAGUAUCGUAGAGGGAGGUAGAAUUCUAGGUGUAGCGGUGAAAUGCGUAGAUAUCUGGAGGAAUCCUGUGGCGAAAGCGGCCUCCUAAACGAAUACUGACACUGAGGUGCGAAAGCGUGGGGAGCAAACAGGGAUUAGAUACC